rnacentral:rRNA from 1 species
UACAGAGGGGGCAAGCGUUAUUCGGAAUUAUUGGGCGUAAAGGGCGCGUAGGCGGCUUUGCAAGUGACGGGUGAAAUCCCUCGGCUUAACCGAGGAACUGCCUGUCAGACUGGAAGGCUUGAGACCGGGAGAGGUGAGUGGAAUUCCCAGUGUAGCGGUGAAAUGCGUAGAUAUUGGGAGGAACACCAGUGGCGAAGGCGGCUCACUGGACCGGAACUGACGCUGAGGCGCGAAAGCGUGGGGAGCAAACAGG